rnacentral:lncRNA from 1 species
AAAAAAACAACAAAAAUACAAGGUUUAGUCAGCUGCUGUUACAAACUGUUUAGGAUGAUUAAAUAAUGGAAGUCAGUAGUCAAUCAAACGCAUAGGUUAGAUAUUAGUCUGGAUUAUCACAGAAAUAUACAUCCUGGGUUGUACAGAUCAUAGGUAGCUGGAGACAGGCAAUGUUUGCUUGUUCAGAUAUGCUAUGAGUAGACAGAUGAUCUUCAAAGGUGUCAGAGAUCCACAGACCAUGGAAUUUAAAGUUACUUUAUUAUUAAAAGAUCUAUAAGACAGAUUGGCUCCUGACAGUACCCCUGUUCCACUUCAGAAAAGAUGAUGAGAAUCAAUAACCUCCAAGUGGAGUUGCUUCAAUUGAUAGCCACUGGGCAAGAACUGCCCUAACCUCAUCUGCAGACAGAAUGCUGUCCAAACAGCCAGACAAACAGAUGCAGGAUAGUUGGCUGCUGAGCUCUGCCAAGACAAGCUCUGUGAGUCCCGAUAUCUGGGACUCACACACGAUCUCUGCGCUGAAGGGCUUGCUUGGGCUGCUUGCUUCUCUGGUUUGGCGCCCACAGCACACAUGUUGUCUCCUAGACUUGGAUCGGCUCCACUCCACACACUGGCCACUGUCAUGGUCCUUCCACAGUCCUGGGUCCUCUCAUCCCCUGGAAUCUUCACGGCAACUGAGGCUUCACUGACAGCAAUGGCCUCCCGGCUGACCUGCAGAGACUCCACUCCUGCUGUAUGGUGUCGAGCGCCUGGACAGUUCUCCUUCAGUCCUGUGGGUCUCACUGUAACCGAGCAUACGUCUUCACCUAUGGCUUCCUGGCCUCUCUGCCAACCGUACCAAGCCUGACUGCUCGCCAUGACAUCCUCAUGUCUUCAAAAACAGCACAUGUGGAAGACUGUUCUCUGAGUUUGGCUGUCAUCUUUUUAAAAAAAAAAUUUAUUUAUUUAUUUAUUGCAUAUGAGCACACCACUAUUGCUCUCUUCAGACACACCAGAAGUGAGCACCAGACCCACUACAGACGGUUGUGAGCCACUGCUGGGAAUUGAACUCAGGACCUCUGGAAGAGCAGUAAGUACUCUUAACUGCUGAGCCAUCUCUCCAGCACUGGCCGUCAUCUUGAGAUGUGGACUUGGCCCCUUCUGGACAGCUUCUGUGGUUGAUUCUGAGAAAGCACUUCCCAGAAGAUUUCACUUCAGUGGUGCCGGUCUCUUCCUAACCAUUGCUGAUUUCGUGGCUCCAGCUGACCAGCACUGAUUGUGCCAGUGAAGUCUCAGCCCCUCUUUGAGAGGGUCAGGGAGCAACCAGGAAGAAGGCUGGCUGCUCACGGGCCUGCUCUCCCAUCCCAAGUCAUCCAAGGUGACUCUUGGUUGUGUCAAGCUAAGAAACAAAUGAGCAGCUCAGGUAGAAUCCUGCACUUAGGGUGAGAGCAAAGGCCAGCUGUAGGGAGGCUGGCAGAAGGCUUGGCCUGCCACGGCUGGUGGCUCUGGGCACUGGCCUGUGUCUUGGCUUUGCCUUCUGAAAUGCAGAGAGCCAGCUCCUCAGGCUGCACUCUGAGAGGUGGGGUAACAGCCAUGGGUCAGUCUGGUGCCAUGCACAGGAAUCCGGAUGAAGCAAAGGAGCCUUGUGAGGAGAUGUGGAGCUGAGCUUUCGGAAGAACCUUCCAGGCGCAGAGGCACUGCAUGCUUCUCGUAUGACUCCCAUCUGUCACCUUAACCCACAGGCCCACACUCUCUUCCCUGGCAUUCAAUGACCCUUGAUCCUACCCUCCGAUAUCUCCCACU